CCUACGGGAGGCAGCAGUGAGGAAUUUUCCGCAAUGGGCUAACGCCUGACGGAGCAAUGCCGCGUGGAGGAGGAAGGCCUGUGGGUCGUAAACUCCUUUUCUCAGAGAAGAAGAUCUGACGGUAUCUGAGGAAUAAGCAUCGGCUAACUCUGUGCCAGCAGCCGCGGUAAUACAGGGGAUGCAAGCGUUAUCCGGAAUUAUUGGGCGUAAAGCGUCCUGAGGUGGCUUACCCAGUCGACUGUGAAAGCUCAAGGCUCAACCUUGAAACGGCAGUCGAAACUUGUAAGCUUGAGUACGGUAGAGGCAGAGGGAAUUCCCGGAGGAGAGGAGAAAUUCGUAGAUAUCGGGAGGAAGGCCAAAGGCGAAAGCACUCUGCUGGGCCGAUUACUGACACUGACAGACGAAAGCUAGGGGAGCGAAAGGGAUUAGAUACCCUGUAGUCCUAGCCGUAAACGAUGGAUACUAAGUGUUGCGCGACUCAACUCGUGCAGUGCUGCAGCUAACGCGUAAGUAUCCGCCUGGGGAGUAUGCUCGCAAGAGUGAAACUCAAAGGAAUUGACGGCGNGAGAGNGCGACGACGACGACGAGGAGGAGG
rnacentral:rRNA from 1 species